AGUCGAUGCUACUUUCUCACAGAAAUAAAAUCUCUCCUCCCAUUCGUCUCUCUCUUCAUCUUUCGUCUCUCCCAUGUUACUCUUCAUCUCGUUAUGACCAGAAAAAACUUUCAAUCCAUUCAAUAAUUCUGGUAUAAGUUCACACACACACACACACACAUAUAUAUAUAUAUAUAUAUAUAUUCUGAAUAAUCAAUAGUCAUCACUGUGUUUAUAUGAAAUUCUUUCAAAUCCAACGUCCAAUUGUAAUUUUUGAAUUUUGGGUUGUCGUGAAAACCAAGAAGGCAAGAGCAGAGAUGGGUCUGGAUUUGAUCGACUCGUCGUCUCUCCCUCCGCGCCUUAGACGACUCCUCGUCCUCCGCCACCAAACCAGACGAAUCGACCGAAAACGGCACCGUUUCAGCGCCUGAGGAUGCCAAAGCUACGACGGACAACGACUAUCCGAGCGGCGAGUUUCAGUUUCAGGAGGCGAGCCUGUGGAAGAGCUCCGAAUGCUCUUUGCUUAUCCUUGGUUUUGAUCCAUUCUCACAUUUUUUUUUGCUUUUGAUUUUUUGUGUAUUUACAGUGUUUGGUGUUGAUUUUCAAAGAGCUGUGGUUUUUGGUUUUUCUAACUUCAAUUUGAGCUUAUAUGGAGAUUCUUGUAGGUAAGUUUGUUGUGGCAUAUGCACCUGCUUGUAGUAAAAAAGAAUAUUACCUUGCUUCUGCUUGUCAAGAGAUUUAUGCCCCUCCAAGUGCUUAAUUUUCUCUGUUUCGUCUCAGUGUUCAGGCAUCAUUUGUUAGAGCGGUUCUUGAGAAAAUUGGAGUUGAGCCACAAGUGGAAAGGAUUGGUAAAUAUAAAAGUUCUGUUGACCAACUUGCGCGCCCGACCAUGUCCGACGAAAAUUGAGACAUGCUGACAGCAUUGCUCGAUAACAUAUAUGGGAACUGGCUGGACAUAAUUUCUUCUACAAGAGAAAAAAAGAGAGAAGAUAUUGAGAAGUCUGUUAAUGAAGGGGUGUACCAUGUAGAGAAGCUGAAAGAAAGGGCUAGAUCACAAACAUACAGUAUGAUGAUGAGGGCUCUUGCAGUUUACUAAUUUUGGAUAUGUUAUGAUUACAUUGUUCAGUUGUUGAAAUUUGAUAGAAAGUCAUCUGGGGAGUAGUUGUUCUUGAAAGCUUUUUUCUUUAUGUGAUCAUAUUCAGGAAG